AGUGAACGCUGGCGGUAGGCCUAACACAUGCAAGUCGAACGGCAGCACAGUAAGAGCUUGCUCUUACGGGUGGCGAGUGGCGGACGGGUGAGGAAUACAUCGGAAUCUACUUUUUCGUGGGGGAUAACGUAGGGAAACUUAGGUUAUUACCGCAAACGACCUACGGGUGAAAGCGGGGGAUCUUGGGACUUUGGGGGAUUGAAUAACCGGUUGUCGGAUUAGUUAGUUGGCGGGGGAAAGGCCCACCAAGGCGACGAUCCGUAGCUGGUCUGAGGGGAUGAUCAGCCACACUGGAACUGAGACACGGUCCAGACUCCUACGGGAGGCAGCAGUGGGGAAUAUUGGACAAUGGGCGCAAGCCUGAUCCAGCCAUACCGCGUGGGUGAAGAAGGCCUUCGGGUUGUAAAGCCCUUUUGUUGGGAAAGAAAAGCAGCAGGUUAAUACCCCGCUGUUCUGACGGUACCCAAAGAAUAAGCACCGGCUAACUUCGU
rnacentral:rRNA from 1 species